rnacentral:lncRNA from 1 species
ACUCCAGGGCAGCAUCCAGCUGGUGACCUGAGAGGGCAGUGGCGCACCAGUCUCCAUGAAGGUUGAGCUCCGAUGGCCAACAGCCAUUUCCACCUUGUGGUCUACAACUCUUCAUCCCGACUGCAUGGAGGUUGGUCUCUCUCUUCAGCUGGAUUUAGGCCACCAUCUGAGCCCCCGGGGUACGUUUUGUCUGACCCUGGCGCCAUUCGAACGGUUCUUCUACAGCAUCAGUUCUCUUUCCUGCCACCAUGUGAAGAAGGACAUGUUUGCUUCCCCUUCUGCCAUGAAUGGACAGGGUCCUGCUGUGUUGCCCAGGCUGGCCUUGAACUCCUGGCUUCAAACAGUCUUCCCACUUGGGCUCCCAAAGUGCUGGGAUUAAAGGGGCGAGUUACAGCACCAGGACCUGAAAUUAGAGACAGGGUUUCACCGUGUUAGCCAGGAUGGUCUCCAUCUUCUGACCUCGUGAUCCGCCUGCCUCGGCCUCCCAAAGUGCUGGGAUUACCGGCGUGAGCCAGCAUCACCCCCCAGCAAAAGCAUCAUGUGUCAUUCUCACAGCUGUUAGGACUUCAAUGAUGUUAUAAGGAAGUUGGGGCUCAGAGAAGCUACAGAACUUACCCAAGGACACACAGCCAUCACGAAAAACAUGGCCAGCAAAGCAGGUGAGGCAAAGAUCAGGAAGGACAUUAAACGCCAAACUAAGGAGCGGAACUGAAUGAGCAGUGAAGGGGAACAAUGGCUUCAGCAGGUCCACUGGGCUCCUCUUUUCUGUCAGCCUCCCCCUACCCCUCACCUCUGUACUACUCAUGUUACUAUCUACGUCUCUUCACCAAUGUCAUUGUGGAAAUAAAAGCUUAUCUGUAA